UAGACACCUGAAUGCCGCCCUGCCCGUUUGUGUGCGCACUCCCGCCCCGCACUUUGCUGCCCGCCGGACCCCGCCACGCCGCCGGACACAUUACUGCAGUGUGAUUACUGCAGUGUGCUUAAUCACACUGUCUCCCUGCAUGAGAGACAGAGACCUCCGCGGCCCGCCCCGUCCCGCCCGCCUCGUCCGUCCCGCCCGCCUCGUCCCACCCGUCCUUAGUUGUCAGCCGCCGCAUCUCCCCUCCCCUGCGAGAGACAGGAGGGCUGGGUUUGCCUUUCCCGCCGAGGCAAACCCAGCGCUCCCUCCUCUGUGUGCAUGGCCUGACACCCGCGGGCAGCCCCCAUCUCCCACCAGCCAGUGCCACUGGCCAACGUACCCACCUACCGGAGUGUGACCCUCAGCUGCCAGAGUGCAACCAGGGACGAUGAUGAUGCUCGGCAACCAGCGGGAACCGUCGGCCUCAGCAGCCGGAAGACGCGGCAUCCAACCAGGAUCAGCGAUCGAGACAAGCCGCCCGGCGGCUUUUAACAGUCGCACACAAAUAAGUUCUCCUAGAUCUUGGCCAGCCAUUGGAAAGGAAAGACCAUGUAAUGUGUUUGUGCUGGCGUCAGGGUGCUGGAUUUCUUCAUCUGCACAGAGAUUUUACAGAAUAAAUUACAGCUGUAAAGAGGCCGCACCGACAAGUGGACCAAACAAGCAAUUUCCCAGCUUGUAGAAAUCUGCUGGAUGAUGGAGACCAGCGGUUUCCUGGCUGUAAUUAUAGAACUGCGGCACUUCGCCAGGAGAGCCCGGCGGCGCUGUGCACCCACCCACUACACUAAGCAUAUCCGGGUUGCGGACUAGCGCCAGAUAAGUGUGCGCCUCCUCGGGAUUGGUGGGACUGGAGCACCCUGCCUGGAGCUGUAUCUCUUGUGGCUAGGUUACGUGACUUUGCAUAAAGUUACUGCCGUUUCCACUUGGACUUCAGCAGAAAACAAACUUCUCAUUUCAUUUAGGAGAAAAUAGAAAAAUGCUGUUUUCAUUUCCGUAGAUCCAUGUUUGUACUUAGGGGGUCAUUCCGAGUUGUUCGCUCGCUAGCAGUUUUUAGCAGCCGUACAAAUGCUAUGCCGCCGCCCACUGGGAGUGUAUUUUAGCUUAGCAGAAGUGCGAACGAAAGGAUCGCAGAGCGGCGGCAAAUUUUUUUUGUGCAGUUUCUGAGUAGCUCAAAGCCUACUCAGCGCUUGCGAUCACUUCAGACUGUUCAUUUCCUGUUUUGACAUCACAAACACGCCCUGCGUGCGCCCAGCAACGCUUGCGUUUUUCCUGGCACGCCUGCGUUUUUUCGAACACUCCCUGAAAACGGUCAGCUGACACCCAGAAACGCCCUCUUCAUGUCAAUCAUUGUGCGGCCAGUAGUGUGACUGAAAAGCUUCGCUAGACCUUGUGUGAAACUACAUAGUUCGUUGUAAUAGUACGUCGCGCGUGCGCAUUGUGCCGCAAACGCAUGCGCAGAAGUGCCAUUUUUUUGCCUCAUCGCUGCACAGCGAACGAAUGCAGCUAGCGAUCAACUCGGAAUGACCACCAAAGUUACUGCCGUUUCCACUUGGACUUCAGCAGAAAACAAAAUUCUCAUUUCAU